GACACUUCGUGUCAAUCACAUUGGCGGGUACUAAUUUCUGGACUUGACUGAUGCCUUCAAUGCAAUGUCGCGACAUGUAUCGGAAUAUGUGAAUAAUAUUUUUUAGAAUUGUUAUUAGGAAUGCAUAAGAUGUUUUUGUCCCGUGCACACUAUCGACAGAUAACAAAAAUCAAAUAAAUGAAACAGAUUGUUAUCUCUAUUUUAAUUUAUGCGUUGCUGCUGUUUGAAAAGUCCGUGAUUGCCAAGUUCAAUCGAAAGAAGAAUGAGUUAGAUUUUCAAGAAGUAAUAAAAGAGAAUAGUGAAUAUCCACCAAUGGUAGACAAAUGUCCCCUUAGAAUAGUAGGUGGACAAACAGCAGAUAUAAAUGAAGUACCGUAUCAGAUUGCCAUACAAACAUAUGUAAUCCCAAGUGCUUAUUGGAAAUUAGUUGGUGGUGGAGCAAUAGUUACGCAGCAGCAUGUUGUAUCAGCCGCCCAUUGUUUUCCUAGGCGGAAUUGGAAUAAAAUAACCUACAGAAUCCUAGCAGGCACCAGCAGAUUUGGUGUACCAAUAAAAAAGAACAAAGUACAGAAAUAUUCUACGGUUAGUAGAAAAAUUUUGUACUGCUUUCGACAUAAAUAUUACAACUCGGAUGAUUUGGAACAUGAUUUUGCUGUGUUAACGGGUCGAGCGAAGAAAUGAUCAGUACCUACUAAUGUCAUCAGAAUUAGAUACACAAGUACUUUCACAACAGAUUGUGAUAACUUAUCUUCCUACCAUGUGGAGGGGUAAAAAGGAAAGAUACUUAAGUUGGACUCCCCUUUAUACUUCACGGAUAAUAUUCAGCCUAUUCCAAUGCUACGGCCCGGUUACGGAAUCCAACUCCAAGUAAAUAGUUUGUGCUUGGUUUCGGGAUAUGGAGCUGUUACAACAGUAAAUUACAACAUAUCGGCUGAUCUCCGAAUAGUGUGUGUUCCGAUAGUGAGCACAAACGAAUGCAAAAAGUACUUCGGCAAAUUCUUACAAACCUAUCAAUUAUGUGCGGGAAGGCAAGGGAAGGACAGUUGUUGGGGUGAUUCUGGAGGACCAAUUACAUACAAAGGAUAUUUAGUUGGUGUAGUGUCUUUCGGAGGACCUCAAUGUGGAUGGUCGCCAGGUGUCUACACAAGAAUUUCGAGUUAUACAAGCGGAGAAUAUGUGCCCUUCGUCGCGAACCAUUGCAUUGCUUUAGCUCUACACAACUUACUUUACAUUCGUAUGUUUAUCAUGUUUUUUUUGUGUACAAUUUAUUUGAUUUGAAAUAUGAUGUAACGUUUUGA